rnacentral:rRNA from 1 species
UACGUAGGGUGCGAGCGUUGUCCGGAGUUACUGGGCGUAAAGGGUGCGCAGGCGGCCCGACAGGUGUGUGGUGAAAUCUCCCGGCUUACCUGGGAGGGGGCCACGCAAACCGUUGGGCUUGAGGCUCGGGGAGGGGCGUGGAAUUCCGGGUGGAGCGGUGAAAUGCGCAGAUAUCAGGAGGAACACCGGUGGCGAAGGCGGGUCUCUGGGCCGUUACUGACGCUGAGGAGCGAAAGCGUGGGGAGCGAACAGG